rnacentral:rRNA from 1 species
GCUCGCCCGAACAUUACAAGCAAAAGCUUUAAACCCAAAGGACUUGACGGUGCCCCACACCAACCUAGAGGAGCCUGUCCUAUAAUCGACACACCACGCUAAACCUCACCCCCCCUGGCCCUCAGCCUAUAUACCGCCGUCGCCAGUCCACCUGCUAACAGCCCAACAGCCGACACAAAAGCUUACCACUAAUACGUCAGGUCAAGGUGUAGCUUAUGGGCGGGACAGAGAUGGGCUACACUUCCUACACUAGGGCUACACCAAAAACAACAUGAAACGUAAGUCUAAAGACGGAUUUAGCAGUAAGAUUCGACAAGACACGCCAAUCUGAA